AUACACGCAAUGACAGCGGCAAACGGGUGAGUAUAAAGUUUGUAUCUCCCCCCAAGUCAGGGAUAGCCCAAAGAAAUUUGGAUUAAUGCCGGAUGUGCCCUACGGGGUAAAGCUUUCGGGCGCUUGGGGAAGAGCAUGCUUCCUAUCAGUUAGUUGGCGGGGUAAUGGCCCACCAAGACUAUGACGGGUAGCUGGUCUGAGAGGACGACCAGCCACAAUGGGACUGAGACACGGCCCAUACUCCUACGGGAGGCAGCAGUGAGGAAUCUUCCACAAUGGGCGAAAGCCUGAUGGAGCGACACCGCGUGAAGGAUGAAGGGUUUGUUCCUGUAAACUUCUUUUUUGUGGGAAGAUAAUGACGGUACCACAAGAAUAAGGGACGGCUAUCUACGUGCCAGCAGCCGCGGUAAUACGUAGGUCCCGAGCGUUAUCCGGAAUUACUGGGCGUAAAGCGUCUGUAGGCGGAAUGAUAAGUCGGAUUUGAAAGCCAGGGGCUCAACCCCUCGGUCUGUGUUCGAAACUAUCAAUCUAGAAUCGGGGAGAGGAAAACGGAAUUAUGUGAGUAGGGGUGCAAUCCGUUGAUACACAUAAGAACACCAAAAGCGAAGGCAGUUUUCUGGAACCGUAUUGACGCUGAGAGACGAAAGCGUGGGGAGCGAAAAGGAUUAGAUACCCUUGUAGUCCACGCCCUAAACGAUGAUAACUAAGUGUCGGAGUAAUCCGGUGCUUCAAGCUAACGCAUUAAGUUAUCCGCCUGAGAAGUACGGCCGCAAGGUUAAAACUCGAAUGAAUAGACGGGGACCCGCACAAGCAGUGGAUCAUGUGGUUUAAUUCGACAAUGAACGGGGAACCUUACCCAGGCUUGACAUGUCAGAAAUCCGGUGGCAACAUUGGAGUGCCCGCAAGGGAAUCUGAACACAGGCGCUGCGUGGUUGUCGUCAGCUCGUGCCUUGAGGUGUUCGGUUAAGUCCGUUAACGAGCGCAACCCAUGUCGUUAGUUAUUAUGUCUAACGAGGCUGCCCGAGUGAAUCGGGAGGAAGGUGUGGAUGACGUCAAAUCAGCAUGGCCCUUAUGCCUGGGGCCACACACAUGAUACAAUGGUCGGUACAAAGGGAAGCAAUGGAGCGAUCCGGAGCCAAUCCCAUAAAGCCGAUCUCAGUCCGGAUUGGAGUCUGCAACUCGACUCCAUGAAGUUGGAAUUGCUAGUAAUCGUGAAUCAGCCAUGUCACGGUGAAUAUGUUCCCGGGUCUUGUACUCACCGCCCGUCAAAGCAUGGGAGGUGUUUCUAUCGGAAGCCCCCGAAGUAAUAUUGGGGUCCAUGGUAAGAACACUGACUGGGCUUAAGUCGUAACAAGGUA
rnacentral:rRNA from 1 species